AUUACCAGGGGUGGUAUAGUACGUCAUCAACAGGUGCGCGCAACACUUCCCGAUGCGGCUUUUUUAUGUCAAAACACCUCGAUUCGAUCACAACAGAAACACCAGAGAUAUUCUGUUUAUCAGAAUUAAAUUAUGAAGCUAAACACUUGGGGUUCAGCAGUAUGAUAUCCGUAGAGAGAUGAACAUAAACUGCAUAUAGUAGUAAUUCAUGCAUUUCUCGGGAAUAAAAUGACACGUCAAAAAAAA